GGCUCUAUAGCUCUGGGGUUAGAGCACUGGCCUUGUAAACCGAGGGUCGCGAGUUCAGAUCUCGCUGGGGACU